GGACUGAGAACUUGGCCCAGGCUACCAGCGUCCUGGCUGAGAAAGCAGGGCUUUCAAGAUUCGUGCCACCCUGUGCCUGCGGCAACUUCUGUGCUGUGCCUGCACUGGCUAUUCACCCCCUCCCCCAGACUCCGUCCAGGAAAUUUCACAUUCUGUCAAAAUUGUUACAAAGUUCGGCUAGAAGUUUUCUUCUCCCUGUGUUUUUUUCCCAGUUCCUCUGUCAGUCCUCCCAAAGGACCCCUGUAAGACAAAGUCGGAAAUAGCUUCCCUGGGGACCAAGAGUGCCCACAGGGCUCUUCCCGCUGCUUCUUCUACCCCUGUAUUUUGCUUGGCUCUUUAAGUUUCUCUCAACUCCAGAAAACCUUGUUGGGAGUUUGAUUAGACGGCUGAGAAAGACAGCAAAUCUACAGGGUUUGUCAAAGAUAAGAUCGUUGUCAUGGCAUGAAAAGGAUGACCUUUCCAGUCUGCAAUACCUGCUUGACCACUAAGACCAAACAGCUCAAAUUAAAGCUUUCCUUGGCCAUGGUGACUGAGUCAAGGACAGACUCAUAAUCUAAGGCAAAGCAAUAAGUCAUCAGGAGACUCAAUACCUGCGUGUCUCUCAACCAUUGGAAAAAGUGAAUAUUCUUUGUAUCUGGAUGUGAAUGAGAAAAUACACAACCCCAGGAGCUGCUAGAACCCAUCUUGAGUUUGAAGAGUUUGCCUUAUAAUAAAACCAAUAUCAAAAAAGGAGGGUCUAAUAUGGGGAGGUACAAGCUUUUAGUGAUAUUGUUUGAGUCUUGGAUAAAGAUUCACUUGAAGCUAGAAUCUGCCCUCCGCAUUCCUUUAUAAACCUUGCGACACAUGAAACUGAGCGUGUUACCUCUCAAAAGUAUUCCCACAACAGUAGUCACAAACCUGUCAUAACAGUCAACAUACUACAUUGAAAUAAUUUGUUUAUAUGUGCAUUCCCCUAUACUGUGAGCCUUUGGGGCAUCAGACAUGUCUUGUCACCUAGGAUGGUAUCUGGCACAUAUUUAGUGCUCUAUAAAUCUUUGUAGAAUUAACAAAUGAAUGGAUGGAUAAGAGUUGCAAUAGAGGUAAAUUAUAUUUCCAAAUUUUUUUAUUUAUUCCUGACAAAUUAAUCAUAUUCCUGUAUUUUUUUCUCUAUAUUUCAAAGGUAAUUAGAUGUCAACACUUUUUACUUUCCUUUUUCUGAAGGUUUUAUAAGGAAACUAUGUGCAGGAUAUCAAUUUUUUGGAGAAUGACUCCCACAUUGGCUAUUCUAGCUUAUUCCCACAGGAAUUCCUAAAACCAAGCAAAUAAUUUCAAAUUUGUUGAGAUCGCAUAAUUUAGUUUAGAAUAAAGAGAUCUUGUCACCUUUCCUCUAAAGGAAGUGUCUGCUACAGGCAUUCCCUAUGGGUAUGUAUAAUUGGAAAAUUAAAAAGCAUAUUUAAAGGCAACAUUGUGCUAUAAAAAAUGUUGGCAAUGUUCCAAGGGGGACUGUGUAUGCUAUUAGAUAUUUUUGAGAAUUUACUCUGCCUGUGCUAAGAAUUUUCAAUAAUUCCCUUCUUGGGUAAAAUUAGGGCAUCAGCAGAGAAGUAAACUCUCUAAUAUAAGCAGCAAGUUUCCAUUUUUCACCAUAAUGUGUUCCUAAAAACUAUGUUGGGAAGUAAAAUGAUUAAAAAUAGAACUUUUUUGCUUUCAUACAAUUUUCGUUAAGUUUAAAACUGAAGUUAUUUGUUCACAUAAGCAAGUAAUAUUUAUAUACUGGUUAGGUGAGAUAUUGAUCGUGGCUUUCUUCUGGAGCCAAGAGAGAAUAAAACAACUGGACAAUGUAAGAUGGCUAUGUCUCUCAGAAAGUAAUACAGUCGAAAGCCUAGUUCAAAGUAAGAAACACAUAGUAGAUAUAACACCACUGUUCAUUCCAGAGCCUGUGGAAGGUGGGGCUAUUUGCUCAUGUCAUUCUUUCCUGAUUUAUCUAUAUUAAACCUUAGAAUCUUUCUUAAUACCAAACUUGAAAUGUCACUAGCAUUCAUUUGAAAUUGUUACUAGCAUUGACAGGUUUAAUACCGUAGACUUAAGGUGACUGGCUUACAUGCCUACAACCAGGGAAACAUUUUCACCUGGUGGCAACAUCUUGAUUUGCAGUCAUAGACCCAGGAGAAAGAAUCCAACAUUUUAAGUCUAAUUCAGCAAAACCAGGUCUACAAAUAGUGGCAAACAUAACUUAAGAAAUUAUCUUUAAAAUGAUGGCUUUUACUACACUUCG
rnacentral:lncRNA from 10 species